rnacentral:tRNA from 1 species
GUAAGUAUAGUUUAACAAAACAUUGGAUUGUGAGUCUAAAAAUAGAGAAUACUCCUCUCUUACUUACC